rnacentral:rRNA from 1 species
CUGAACCAGCCAAGUAGCGUGAAGGAUGACUGCCCUAUGGGUUGUAAACUUCUUUUAUACGGGAAUAAAGUGAGCCACGUGUGGCUUUUUGUAUGUACCAUAUGAAUAAGGAUCGGCUAACUCCGUGCCAGCAGCCGCGGUAAUACGGAGGAUCCGAGCGUUAUCCGGAUUUAUUGGGUUUAAAGGGAGCGUAGGCGGGUUGUUAAGUCAGUUGUGAAAGUUUGCGG